CGGCUCGAAGACGAAGAACUCAUCGCGUACAUGCUGCGCGGUCUCGGGCCAGAGUACGAUCCACUGGUGACUAGCAUCACCACGCGCGCUGACACGUACACCAUCAGUGACGUAUACGCGCACAUGCUCAGCUACGAGA